UUCCUUAGUCAUCUGCAAUUAAAGCCUGCACUAAGUUCCAAAACCGAAGUACAGUGUGUAAAUGCCUAGUUGACGACAUUGGAUGAUCUGGGUCUGAACAACAUCAUUAUUGGAGAGCUGCUAAGUGAUUAAGCUGUGGCAAACAUAACAUGAAGGCUACCCUAGCACAUUGAGCAGGAAAAGAUGAGACAAACAGUCCACAGGACUGAGAACAGUUGCUUUCCUAGGAGAUGAUUAAUGGAAACUCAGAGUCACACAAAGUUGUUAAAGAAACUGUUCUUAAGAAUAAUCCUAAAAUCCAUCUACUUAAAAGGCAUGGGAUGAAAAUUCUUCCUAAUAUUUCUAAAGCCAAACAUUUCCUCAUACCACAUGACUCCAAAGGAACAAGAGCACAGCUGGCUAAAUGAAGUCCUGAGCGACAGCUGGCGUGCAACUUCCCCUCCCCUCAGAAGACCCAGCACCUCCUCUGCAACAAUACAUGGAAUCCUUCCAAUCUGCUCCGGCACACGGUCCCACCAUCCUGCCUGCCCGUGCCCAGCUCUGACCUCCCGGUUUGCACGGCAGCGUGUCGUGGCUGAGACUGCCCAGCCAGCUGGCUGGGGUGAAUCAACAAGAUGAGAUUGACAAAACUUUUUUCCCCGACAUAUUUAGAAUAUUUCACUGGGGAGAAAUCUCCUGAGAUUCAACAUCUGAUUCUUCAGGCUGUCCUAGGAGAUUAAAAUAAAGGAGAAGGCAGCAUUAAGUCAUGCAACUGUGAUUGAAAACAAACACAAUGGGUCAGAUUCCAUCCUCGAUUGCAGCCACACUGAAGUGUCUGUGGUUAAAUGAGAGUAAGUGAGGACAGAGUUUGACCUGGUGCCUUGAAACUAAAAUAAUAUAAAUGAUAGACAAGGACAAAAUUAUCUGCAAAGCUGCGGAGUUUUCCAUCAGAGGAACCAUGAGAAAGACAAAGAUCCUGUAUCAAGGGGGGCUUAAUUCCUCAAGGAUGAAGCAAGAUAAAAAAUAAUUAUUUGCAAAAAUAGUUUUGGCGGAUUUCUGUCAUCUGACAGCUAUGCAUACUGUGUGGCAAAUGAUUAAAUAAACAGAUUGCUGCUCAAGAAACUUGAUUUCAAUUUGAGAUGCCAAAGCCACUAGAAUAAUCUCUACCCACUGAAAGAAAAUUACUUUGUUGCACUGUGGCCACACAGAAGGCCCCAUUCAUCAGCAGGGUUUGUCUGCAAGAUGGCUUUUUUGUGGAAGAAGCAUCUUCCACACCUGCCUAGUACAGACAACACUGAGCUAACUGAAGGCAUGCAGACCUCUGCUUACUCAAAGGGGUUUUGUGCUGAUGAAAUGAGAAGAAAUUUCAUGCAUGCUUUUUUCUCUCCAAUGAUUCUGCCCUCUGUCCUGAAGCUCUGACAGUAGUUGGAUUCUAAAGAUCCUGCCUUCUGCAUACACAAAAAAUGUUUUAUAGCAAUCUUUCACAACAAUCCGCCCCAGAGAGGUGUGCAAAUCACACAUGCUGAUGCCAAGAAGUGGAAACCAUAGAAACAACAUGAAAAUGUAUUUGUUCUUGUCUUACCUGUGACCUGAGUGGGCCCCUCCUGAAGCUCCUGUGCAGUCUCCUGCCUGUUUAUGUUCAUGCCCAUCUGUUGGCAUGGCACUGCACCCACUCACCAGACAGUCCAUCCUGUUCACUGCAGCUGAUGAAGGAUCUGAACUGGCAGCCUGCAUGGCUUUAUAAAAGGCUGUGAUUUAGUGCAUGUCCGCACAUGGAGUGU